ensembl:lncRNA
CUAAACAUUAUUCAGGGUAUUUUUCCAGCCUUCAGAAUGAGACUGAAAUACUACCUCUUUCAUGGUCUCAAACCUGCCAAUCUUUACCCAUGGUCCUGAUUCUCCAGCUUGCGACUUACCCUGUAGAUCAUGGGACCUGUCAGCCACCACAGUCAUGUGAGCCAAUUCCUCAUUAUAAAUUUUUUUUAUAUAUACACAUCUUAUUGGUUCUACUCCUCUGGAGAAUGCUGACAGAAACACCAACAAAGCUGGGCCUGUUUAUGCAAGGCUUCUAUGCUCCUAGUUCUGAGUUUCUCCACAAUUUCACUAAAAAGGGACUCUGGGAUUGUCCAUCUCUGCAUGCCCAGGAUUCCUUUAUCAUCCCUGUCAGGAAGGGAGGCCCUUCAUUUCCUCUGUGAAGCUUCAUAACUUACUCUGAUUCCUUGGCUGUGUUAGCCUGUCCCUAGCAGCAUGGGUGCCUUCUUCCUCUCCGCCCCAGACCUUCUUAAGGUAACUGUUUGGUUCUGUCCUGGCACUUUCACCAUCCCUAUUUCUCUUCCUCCCACCACCAGUUGCUCAACUGCAGUGUUCCAGGCACUUUCUAAGUAUGGGAGAUUGCAACACGUGUUAACACAGCCGUUGCCCUUGAGGAGCAGAGUUCAGGAGCUGUGAUGGACAGGCAAAGCAACUGAAAUAAACCUAUAAGCUAAGCCCCUGCCUGAAAAGAGGGCCACAUUAGGUGUGGGCAAGGCCCUGAGGAGACAGUUCAGCUAGGCUGGCUGAUGGAGAGUGGAGGACAGUCAUAGGAGGAUGUCUAGAAGAGAAAUUCUGCAGCCAGGUCUGAAGGAUGUGUGGGAAUUUCUCAGAUGCACCAAGGAGGCAGAGACGAAGAAGGGAAGAGACAUUCCAGCAGAGAGGAGGAUUGGUACCAAGCAUGGGUCUAGGGGACAGUCAAGCAAGAUCUGCUCAAGAUGAGCAGAAUGAGGUUGCAGAGGCUGGUGAGGGCCAGGUACUGGAGGCCUGCUUCCCGUGAGGAGAGGCCACUGAGGACUGUAGGCAGGGCUCUGCUGGGCUCUCCUCCAGUCCUGAGCCACAGUGGGUACACCAGUCAUGUGAUUUGUUUAGCUUCCAUUUGCCCAAUCAUUGUCUAACAUUUGCGACAAACUGAAAUACACUGUGGGAUGUGUGUGUCCACAUGGGUGGGAUUUAUAAACAGCAAAAACAGAUGUGAGAGAAACCACCUGAAGUUCCUCUAUUUCGUUUUCUAGAUUUUCCCUAGCAUCACAUUUCUGAUUGUCAGAAUAGUAAUGAGUCUACUGCGGUUUCUGUUGCAUUGGGUUUACGGUGAGGAGGGGCUUGGUUAGGGGCCUGUGACAUGAGAGAGGAAAAACUGCCUUUUAACAGAAAGUGGCCUGAGGCAUAACUUCCACUGUCAUGGACAUUAGCCUUCUUAUUUUAGGAACACAGUAAUUUAUUCUGCUCAUUUGAUCAGUGUUUUCUUAAAGAUAAGGAAAAGAAAAUUCAUUUCGAGAAGUUGCUAUUUUAUUUGGUCAUCCUGGCUUGCUCUCCCAGAAAGGAGCUUCCCCUGUUUUAAUUACAUAAAGUUGGGUUUCAGCACUGCUGCCAAGGAACUAAGGGUUUGCCAGAGGCGGCCUCUCUGACUUCAGGAUGCUUUGUCACCACAAUCGAAUUAAUUUACUGAAGGAGCUUAUUUCUGCCUGCUGUUAAAAUCACCUCCAUUACGCCAUGCUGAGUAACAAAUACAUUCUGUGCGGUCAUUUCCUUUUUUUCUUCAAACACCCUCAUGUGGUUGUUUCUCAUCAUAAUAAAAUGGGCAAAAUAAACCUAAGGUGUUAGUAAGACCCAGCAAAGCCACAUUCCUCUUGCCAUUUGUGUUCCUCGCUGUCCCCAGUGGGCACCUGAUUAUGUGUGUUUGCAUGGACCACUCUGUGGGACCUCUUGCCUCACCUACCCAACUGUAGAAGGGGAAAGACGCCCCUUCUUUUUCCCUUUUCCAUCUUUUAAUAGAAAAAUAACAAAUCUGACUCCAUACCAGAUCUGUUUCUUUUACUUUAACCUUUGUAUUCUAUUGCUUUUGCUCCAAGAAUUUGCCCAUAGCCUGAAAUAAACGGGCGAGCCUAUUCGCAAGGCUCUGACAUGUAAAGGUAUACCACUUUCACAUUCAUACAGCGAUAAAAAGUUGCAGAACAGAAUUAGCAUUUGUCUUCUUGGAAGUUUACAGGAACAUCAUGACCUUCCCAACAAGGACAACUGAGAACGAAGGAUUCUGACCCCAAGAAGUUUGCAACAAUCAACUACAGCCCCUCCCCUUUUAGUAUAAAAGAAACCUGAAUCCUGACUUGGGCAAAAGAGUUCUUUAGGACACUAGUCCACCGUCUUCUUGGCCUGCUGGAUUUCCAAAUAAAGACACUAUUCCUUGCCCC